rnacentral:rRNA from 1 species
AUUGAACGCUGGCGGCAUGCUUUACACAUGCAAGUCGAGCGGGCUUAGGUGCUUGCACCUAAGUUAGUGGCGAACGGGUGAGUAAUGCAUCGGAACGUACCGUGUAGUGGGGGAUAACCCGGCGAAAGUCGGAUUAAUACCGCAUACGAUCUAAGGAUGAAAGCAGGGGAUCGCAAGACCUUGCGCUAUACGAGCGGCCGAUGUCGGAUUAGCUAGUUGGUAGGGUAAAGGCCUACCAAGGCAACGAUCCGUAGCGGGUCUGAGAGGAUGAUCCGCCACACUGGGACUGAGACACGGCCCAGACUCCUACGGGAGGCAGCAGUGGGGAAUUUUGGACAAUGGGCGAAAGCCUGAUCCAGCCAUGCCGCGUGAGUGAAGAAGGCCUUCGGGUUGUAAAGCUCUUUUGUCCGGGAGCAAAUCCUGUUCACUAAUACUGAGCGGGGCUGAGAGUACCGGAAGAAUAAGCACCGGCUAACUACGUGCCAGCCGCCGCCGUAA